rnacentral:tRNA from 1 species
UAAAGAAUGGGUGAAUUGGAUUAAACCGCUAAAUUGUAAAUUUAGUUCUUCUUAGAUUGCAAGUUCGAGUCUUGCUUCUUUAA